rnacentral:lncRNA from 1 species
CGUUAGAUCACAUCGAAAUGCACCAACGAUAAGUUUUUCCUCACGUUUUGCACAAAUAAAAGUGUUUUGUGAAAUGUUUCUGCAGGUAAGUAAGCUGUUAAUGUGAGAAUAAAAUAGCUGUAGACGUCUACCGGGUUAAUCUUCAAACCACCGAAACUCUCGCGAUACUUCCUCCCACCUCACGUUGGAUCCUAUCGAAAUGCACCAUCGUUUGCAGCCACUGUAGCGAGAUGUCUUCCCGGACGGUGAUUUAACACCAAAAACAAAACUUAUUCGUACUUCAGGUCGUUUUUCCGGGCCAUUGCUAGCACGCUAAGUUGCUAACUGAGGGAGGCCGGAGAGGCGAGCAGGCAGCCUGGGCUCAAAGGUUGCUCCUCACCGAUCACGUCCGAUCAAGUGAAACUUGACUAAAGGAAGGGAGAACUUCUUCUGGUCGAAGUGCAACAAUGUCUAAAGCACCGGAAUCUCCCGCUCGGUCCCGCUCUAAAUCCAGGUCUCGGUCAAGAUCCAGAUCCUUCUCCAGGUCUCGCUCCAGAAGCCAUUCACGCUCAAGAUCCAGAAAACGUCGCUACAGUUCUCGGUCUCGUUCCCGUUCCCGCUCACACACGCCUCAGUCCUACAGAAACUACCCAAGUCGGGACUACCAGAACAACAGAGGCGGGUUCAGAGGUUAUAAUAACCGAGGU